AGUGAACGCUGGCGGUAGGCCUAACACAUGCAAGUCGAACGGCAGCACAGUAAGAGCUUGCUCUUACGGGUGGCGAGUGGCGGACGGGUGAGGAAUACAUCGGAAUCUACUUUUUCGUGGGGGAUAACGUAGAGAAACUUACGCUAAUACCGCAUACGACCUACGGGUGAAAGCAGGGGAUCUUCGGACCUUGCGCGAUUGAAUGAGCCGAUGUCGGAUUAGCUAGUUGGCGGGGUAAAGGCCCACCAAGGCGACGAUCCGUAGCUGGUCUGAGAGGAUGAUCAGCCACACUGGAACUGAGACACGGUCCAGACUCCUACGGGGGGCAGCAGUGGGGAAUAUUGGACAAUGGGCGCAAGCCUGAUCCAGACAUACCGCGUGGGUGAAGAAGGCCUUCGGGUUGUAAAGCCCUUUUGUUGGGAAAGAAAAGCAGCAGGUUAAUACCCCGCUGUUCUGACGGUACCCAAAGAAUAAGCACCGGCUAACUUCGUG
rnacentral:rRNA from 1 species